CUGGAAAAAGAAAUCCUGUGAAAUUUUAAAUUCAAUUACUAGACAGAUUUGGAUUCCAAAUACGGAACCAUUUCCAAACCUAGCUAGCGUUUGCAGCGACAUCAAUGCUGCCAACUUUUGUUUAGAAGUUGGAAACAGCAUGGGAAGGUUGCUUAGAAUAUUGUCAGCAUCGCUCGAGAAGACAAGAAGUGCGUAGAGCUCGAGAGGGUUAAGAAAACAGAGUUUGUUUGGUGCUAUACCGGCCAAUAAGCAUAUGCUUAUUCCAUUCCAUAUGAGGAUCAUGCAUUGGUAUCGUAAGAGCAUUAACCGAUGCCUCUGCCAUGGGGAAGGAACAAGGCACAUUCACAUACAGAAUGGCAUUAUCCCUUCUUCGUUUUGAAACAGAGCAAACCGAUGCGGAUUUUUCACUUGACGUCACAAAGUGCACACGGCUGCGAAUCAACAGGGGUUUUUGGUUGAAAGAAAAAGUGACGAUUGCGUCAAGCUAUUGAAUUGAAUUGAAGGCGAAGCCAGAUUAGCUGUACCGGAAAUUUUUCUUUCCGGGUGCGAGCUACUUUUGGUUUUGGUUGCUAAUGCGUGCAUGAAAAGGCAAGUAUAAAUAGGGGAAUAGAGGCAUGAACUAAGGGUGUGGUGUGGCAGGAGAGCGUACACCAACAUGGGUAGGACUCAGGCUUUCUUGCUGUGCAUCUUCCUUCUUGCUUCUUCCAUGGCGAUGGUGCCCACAUCCAUGGCUGUCCCCUCCGCUAUGCUUCUUCAUAAACUGUCUGCCCCUCGGCUUAAUGCAACAAACGCCGCAGAACUGGACAGUGGUCCCUUUGCUGCAGGGGACUGCAACUACAGGUGCAAAUGUUGCUGGUGCUGGCGAUACGGCAGAAAGACACCCAAGUGUUUGCUUUGCUGUGCCAACUGAUCAAGAGAGAGCUUGCUUAUAGUGAGGGAGAUAUGUAUUAGCUAGAGGGGUUUGAUUGCUAAAUUAAUACAUGUAAUAGCAAAUAUUAGUGAAUAAAGUAGGCGUUUUAUAACAUAAAUGAUAUCAAGUUGAUCUGAUGCUUUGGGUACAUCCCCGACUUCAGAUUCUUGUGGCCUCUUGCAGAAUACUGCAAGGCUUUCAGCUAGAAAAAUUCCGGACGACUAUACAGGAAACUAAUUAGUUGCAGAUUAACUUCCAGCCGUAAGCUCUUUUCAUCAUUGACAGACAAUUGAGGAGUUCACCAGUGGAGACCAUAACAAGAAUUUUGCUCUUGACAUUUGCUUGGGUUCAGUUCCAGAGAUUAGUCUUGCUCCUUCUUUCACCCUGCACAUUUUUGGGGUGCUGACCCUCAUCUUCUAUAUACAUUCUAGCAAAAUUAGUGAAGGUUAUGCCCCCCACAUUUUUAGCCUCAUGAUCUCCCAAAGGGGAAAAAACGCUUUUGAGGGUUUAAGUUGCGUACUUCUCCCAGUAAAUAAAAUCUCAUGCGUCACGAGUCACAAUGAUAGAAAAGCCCUAAUUAACAAAUUAAUAAGCACAAAAGGGAAUUGAAAAGAUGUGGAGCCCUCAUGAUUUAUUGCAUUGAGCAGGCGUGAAGGUGACGAGGUUCUUCCUAAGAUCGUAGAGGAUAUGAAAGUUCUGCUGCAAAGUCACUCCAAAUGGCUGUGUUAACUCUUCUCCUGCAUUUGUUCCUGUUACUCUGCAGCAGCACCUUGCCAUUCAGCUUUCCAGCGUUCUUGACUGCUUUCAAGCAUUUGCAUAGAUUAAUGUCCGAUUUCCAGUUAAUUACUCCAUAGAGAAGGUGCCCAUCGUGUUCUCUGACUAAGCCCGCCGUUCCACGACUGCCAUCCUGCUGCCAACUGACAACAUGCAAUUUUAAUUCUUUCGUCAAGAUCCCCAUUUGGUACCAGCUUCAGCCAGGUCUCUAUUGCUUGCCUUGAUCUGUCAUCCCAUUCCAUUUUCAGUAUCAUCUGCUGACAUAGAAGUCCAAGCCCCUAUUUCACCAUGUCCAGGCGCAUCUCUAUCCCCAUGCUUGGACGAGUUUCUCCUUUUCCACCAUUUGCACGCAUGGAAUUCUUCCGACAUUUCCAAAUUGCUUUGGCUCGGAACCUGUGUCCUGUCCGCUUGCGGCAUUCAUAUUUGAAUCCUCAUGCUGGCAAGCACCUGACACGCCCCACUUGCAUCUGAAGAAAGAUGAUCAAGAGUCUCUUCAGCUUGUUGACACAAUGCACAUAUGGAAGCUAAGAGAAGCCAAAUCUUUUCAUCCUUUCUUCAGUAAGCAAUUUGUUCUCACAACACAGGUAAAGUGUCCAGGAGGCCCUUAGGAUCCCAUUGUGUCCCAAAUUCGUCUUCUCCACCCUUUCGUCUCACCCUUCCAUCUAAUUCUCUACCAUAUUUCUCUCCUUGAAUUCUCUCCUUGAAAUGCUGCAGUUCUGCUGCUCCACCCAGAUCAAUUGAUCUGCCCCAUUUCUGACUAAGGGUAGAGGGAUGUGGGCAAGCACCAUGACCGAUCUUCACAUUCAAAGUUACAGUGUGGACUGACCACCAAUAAUGGUCGUCUCCACAUCGUUUAUAACAAUUCUGGUUCUGGAUCACUAGGUAUGAAGACCACCAAAAAUUAGCAGUAGUGUUUUGUGAAUGUGUCCCAGAAAAAUUGGAUUGUAUCGCCCACAUCAGCGACAACGCAUGGGCGGCCACCACUGGUGGUUUCCACCAACAUUAUAUCUUUCGCUUUCAUUUCUUUUGAAGGAUCAGUUUAAUCUGCAUUUUGAAUUUUGAAAUAUAGAAACGUGACGUAUGUAGUUUCUGGAAUUUAAGGCUGCAUGCUUAGAUAAGCGUCUCUGCAUCUUUAGAUAAGGUUAUGUGAUUUUAAGAGUUUAAAUGUUAUUGACUGCCAUCUAAUGAGAUUCCUGACUGUUUGAUUGAUCGCAUUAAGGGGGUUUAAAUAAAAGGUAUCUCAGGAGAGGAACGCUAAAUGCAAUUGAUUGCACCAAUAGUGAUUCAUUUUAAUCAUCUACUUAGUGUGCAUUUUGAAAUUUUGAAUAUAGGAAUGUUCUUCAAAGUUUAAAGGGUACAAGCUUAGCUAAGCGCUUUUGCUUGUUUAGAUAAGUUCCUGCGACUUUAAAAAUUUUAAAAUGUCUGUGGGGGAGUGAGAGCGUCAGCGGCAAAGGGAGAGAAGGGCAUUGUAAGAGAGGCACUGGUGUGGAGGCCACCAUGAGAGAUAGAGAGCGAGUGAGUUGGGGAGAGAGAAAUCACAAUGAUGGAGAGAUUCAUGGUUCAGUUUAUAUAUAUAUAUAUAUAUAUAUAUAUAUAUAUAAUUAUAUAUAUAUAAACUGAAAUUACAAAUAUAAA